CGGACGGGUGAGUAAUGCUGGGAAACUGCUGAUGAGGGGAUACUACUGGAAACGGUAGCUAAUACCGCAUAACGUCGCAAGACCAAAGAGGGGGACCUUCGGGCCUCUUGCCAUCGGAUGUGCCCAGAUGGGAUUAGCUAGUAGGUGGGGUAACGGCUCACCUAGGCGACGAUCCCUAGCUGGUCUGAGAGGAUGACCAGCCACACUGGAACUGAGACACGGUCCAG
rnacentral:rRNA from 1 species